GGCCUUGUGGUGUAGUGGUAGCACACCUGCUCUACUUUGCAUGGGCUCAUCGAGAUUCAGCAGGAGAUUCCUUGUUCGACUCAAGGCUAGGUCA